AUGAGCAUGGUUACCGACGAGGUCGGAUCCGCCGGCACCCACGGCCAGGACUGCCUUCCCCGCUCUCGCAGCCCCCGUCCUGAAGCAGCUGACGGCGGCGGCGGCGGCGCUAAGGACAGCUGGGCACGCGAGCUGCUGCGGCGCGGAUGGGGCCUGAGCCGGACGGCCGCCAUGGCCGGCGCCGCGGCGACGGCCGCGCCGGUCGUGGCCCCGCCGCUGAUCGUCCUCUCCGCCGCCGGCGUCGCGCUCUCCGUCCCCUUCGCCGCCUACCUCGCCAGCCUCGCCGCCGCUAACCACCUCACCGGCGCGCUCCUCCGUUCCUGUCAACCGCCGCCGCAGCCGUGCCCCCAAGAAUACGACGACCUGGAGCAAGAAUUCCUCGACGCGUCUAAGGACAGCUGGGCACGCGAGCUGCUGCGGCGCGGAUGGGGCCUGAGCCGGACGGCCGCCAUGGCCGGCGCCGCGGCGACGGCCGCGCCGGUCGUGGCCCCGCCGCUGAUCGUCCUCUCCGCCGCCGGCUUCGCGCUCUCCGUCCCCUUCGCCGCCUACCUCGCCAGCCUCGCCGCCGCUAACCACCUCACCGGCGCGCUCCUCCGUUCCUGUCAACCGCCGCCGCAGCCGUGCCCCCAAGAAUACGACGACCUGGAGCAAGAAUUCCUCGACGCGUCGGAAGGGUACGGACAAGAGGCUCCGGCGUUCGGCCAUUUGGAUACCGAAACAGAGCAGGGCAUCGUCGAAGAGGAAGGCGGGAGCGACACUUCGCUGCCCCUGUCACGGGAUCCCGGUGCGCUUGCCGGCGACGAGGCAGAAGGUGAAUUUUAUGCCCAAGAAUUUUCUCCACCAUCAAAGCCACUGCUUCAAGGAGAGGAUCAUCUGGUUCAGAAAAGAGGAGAAGAUGAAUUUUCUGCACCAUCAAAGCCACUGCUUCAAGAAGAGGAUACUCUGGUUCAGAAAAGAGGAGAAGAUGAAUUUUCUGUACUGGAUUCAGACCAACAGUCAUUGCAAUCAAACAAUUGGAAGGGAAAAGAGGAUGUCGUGUAUUCUGAAAACAAUGAAGAGGAUGACAGAACUAUGGAGGAAAACAGGCCUGCAAAGGAGACGGUGUUGCAAGGCUUCUGUUUUCCUGAAUUGGGCGUGCCAGCCUCCGGUCACGACGACAAUGUGGUCCGGGAAAAGGGAGAAGAUGAGUUUUCUGUACAGAAUUCAGGCCAGCAAUCAGUUCAAUUUCAGUCAAAGAAUUUUGGUGAAAAAGAAGAACAUGAUGGGAAAACUAUGGAGGAAAAUAAGCCUACCAAGGAGACGGUGUCACAAGAGGCUCCGGCGUUCGGCUAUUUGGAUACUGAAACAGAGCAGGCCAUCAUCAAAGAAGAAAACGAGAGCGACACUUCGCCGCUGCUGCCACGGGAUCCUGUUAUUUACGAAGCGUCUGCGCCUGCGUUUGCUGACAAGGAGGUGGAGGAGGAGGUGCAAGGUGAAUUUUCUGCCAAAGAAUCUGGCCAUGGUUCAUACAUAUCGAACCGCGACAACAAUACAGAGGAGCACACACCAUUGGAAGGAAGGGAGUCUACUCUAAUGGAAACACUACCGAGGGGCUUUGGUCUUUCUGCAUCUGCAAAGCCACUGUUUCCAGAAGAGGAUAAUGUGAUUCAGGAAAAGGGAAACGACAAAGAAGCUGAACAAGUAACAGGCAAGCAAUCAAUUCAAUCAAAGAAUUGGAGUGAAACAGAUGAUGACGUGUAUUCUAAAGAAGAAAGUGAUGGUAAAUCCAUGGGGGAAAAUAAGUCUAUGGAGGAGAUGGUGUCGCGAGGCCUCUGUUUUCCAGAAUCGCAUGUGCCAGUAUCAGGCGAAGACGAUGACAAUGUGGUCCAGGAAAAGGGAGAAGUUAAAUUUGAUGCACAGAAUUCAGGCCAACAAUCAUUUCAGUCAAUGAAUUUGAGUGAAAAAGUAGAAGAGGAUGGCAAAACUACAGAGGAAAACAAGUCUACCAAGGAGACACUGUUCUAUGGAUCAUCUGUGCCGGCGUCAGGUGAUGAAGACAAUGUGGUUCAGGAAAAGAGAGAAGGUGAAUUUUCUGCAAGGAAUUCAGGCCAACUACCAUUUCAAUCAAAGAUUUGGAAUGAAAAAGAAGAGGAUGGCAAAACUACAGAGGAAAACAAGUCUACUGAGGUGACGUAUUCGCAAGGUUCCUAUUUUCCCGAAUCAAGUGUGCCAACAUCAGGUGAUGAAAACAAGAAGGGAGAGGAUGAAUUCUCUGUACACAAUUUAGGCCAGUAUUCACUUUCAUCAGACAUCGGAGAUAAAAAAGAGCAUGGCAUAACAAUGGAGAAAAAGAAGUCUACCGAGGACAUGCCACCACGAGACUCUGUUGGCUCUGAGUCACCAGCUCCAGUGUUCCAUGGUGAAGACAACGUGGUUCAGAGCAAGGAAGGAUUUGAAGUUGCAGUGGAGGGAGUGUUCGAAGAAGCUAAUACUAAUACCGAUCUUGUUACGGCCGAAGUGGUUGAUUCUCAAGUGGAAAUUAUUGUAAUUGCCGCACCUGAGAGCGAGGUGCUGCCACCGAGUACUGAUCUUGUAAUGGCCGAAGUGGUUGAUGUGCAAGUGGAGAUUAGUGCAACUGCAGCACCAGAUAGUGAGGUCCUUUCACCGAAUCCUGGUACUGGGGAAAUUUCUGAUGUGCAAGUCAACGUUGUUGCUGCUGCGAAGCCUGAAGAUGAGGUGCUGCAUGAGAGUGACCUUGCAGCUUGUGCUUCAACGGCAGAUCUUGGUAUUGGGGAAAUUUCUGAUGUACAAGUCAACAUUGUUGCUGCUGCUGUGAAGCCUGAAGAUGAGUUGCUGCCACUGAGUAACCUCACAGAAUGUGAGUCACAGGUGGUUAUUGAAACUGCACAUGUUGGUGACAUUGUAGGAAUUUCUGCAAUAGGACGCAAUGUAAAGGAUUCUAGUGAUGUAGACAAACAAGGCAUGGAAUGCUGUUUUGUCCCAGUGGCGUCUAUGCAUGAUACUGAAGAUGUAAUGUCCAGUGGGAGCACGCCGUAUUUCUCCACCAUGGGCGAAGAAAUCGUUGACCUGUCCGAUCAGUCAAGUGAUGUGGGUUACACAGUGAGGAAUGAAGCAUUUAGGAGCAGAGUUGUUGCUGAGAGCGAGGCUCGCUACACGGAAGAACAGUUGAGGGAACAGCUCGACACGAUAAGAACAAUAACCGGGUACAGUGCUGUGCCUUCUUCGACACUGGAAGGCGAGCUGGCAAGGCUGUACAUAUUCGUGGGCGUGGAGCCCCCCGUCGGCUCAAGCAAUAUCUCUGACCGCCUGAUGGCGCUCAGUGCAGAAGUCCUGUUCUUGAAAUCGAUCAUCGGAGUGGACUGA
rnacentral:rRNA from 1 species